AUUGAACGCUGGCGGCAGGCCUAACACAUGCAAGUCGAGCGGAUGAAGGGAGCUUGCUCCUGGAUUCAGCGGCGGACGGGUGAGUAAUGCCUAGGAAUCUGCCUGGUAGUGGGGGAUAACGUCCGGAAACGGGCGCUAAUACCGCAUCCGUCCUGAGGUAGAAAGUGGGGGAUCUUCGGACCUCACGCUAUCAGAUGAGCCUAGGUCGGAUUAGCUAGUUGGUGGGGUAAAGGCUUACCAAGGCGACGAUCCGUAACUGGUCUGAGAGGAUGAUCAGUCACACUGGAACUGAGACACGGUCCAGACUCCUACGGGAGGCAGCAGUGGGGAAUAUUGGACAAUGGGCGAAAGCCUGAUCCAGCCACGCCGCGUGUGUGAAGAAGGUCUUCGGAUUGUAAAGCACUUUAAGUUGGGAGGAAGGGCAGUAAGUUAAUACCUUGCUGUUUUGACGUUACCAAAAGAAUAAGCACCGGCUAACUUCGUG
rnacentral:rRNA from 1 species